rnacentral:rRNA from 1 species
CCCGCCGCGCGCGGCGGGCGGGGCGGGGGCACGGGGGGCCUACGGGAGGCAGCAGUGGGGAAUCUUGCGCAAUGGGCGAAAGCCUGACGCAAGCAACGCCGCGUGCGGGAUGACGGCCCUCGGGUUGUAAACCGCUUUCAGUGGGGACGAACCAAGACGGUACCCACAGAAGAAGGUCCGGCCAACUACGUGCC